AAANGGCAAGCAUUAGCAGCNAACCCAAGGCCAUUGUANAGGAGAGACGGUCAUUCUUAUAUAGGGACAACGAGAUCAUGGAGGAAACUCAAUCCCUCCGCUCGUAAAGCAUUCUGCAUCCGAAAGCACAAGCGACUUACCAUGUGCCAGAGUAGCCAAAAAGGCAUACCAGGUACACGACAGCCGCUGUAUGGUUCAUCCAAUGCCACCUUUNAUGGGGAAAAGAUGAAUAGCUUUAGGCAACAAAAUUGGAUUCCGCUAUGUGGGUAUGCAACACAGAAACCCAUCCUUGCCCGACAUAGCAACAUGCUUUCGGGAC
rnacentral:misc_RNA from 1 species